rnacentral:lncRNA from 1 species
UAAUCUACUAAAGAGUCUGACUGAAAUAUCAUAGAUGUGGAAAAUACUUAAACGUCUGCAAGUAUAAACAAGUAGCCGACAAGGCUAACACAUGAAGACAUCUUAAUGUCUGACUGACUGGGUUAUAGUCUACGAAGCCUCUAAAGAAUACUGAAAAUGCUAACUGUUUACCGGUACAAGGUCUCCAGUAUACCUUAUUAACUAAAAUACUAGAAUGAUUAAAACAAAAGAGAGAUACGACCCCGAAAGACUGGGGCUCACUUAUAGCUGAUACGAGAUAUCCUAGCAAGCAGAAUCGUGAACCUGAAAAUCGUUACCUACAUCGCGAGAUGCAGGCCCCGGGCAAAAGGGACGCCAGUAGAUUUGAAGUGCACUGAUAUGUAAAAUAACUGAAGAAAAGAACUGUAAAUACUGAAAUUGAAACUAAACUGCUAGAUGAUAAACUGAUAACUGAACAAGGAAGUAAGGAUAUGAACUCCCUCUGCUGAAUGAUGAACAACCUAUUUAUCUAA